rnacentral:rRNA from 1 species
UUCCGGUUGAUCCUGCCGGAGGUCACUGCUAUUGGGGUCCGACUAAGCCAUGCGAGUCAAUAGUUUUUCGUGAACUAGGCGGACGGCUCAGUAACACGUGGGUAAUCUACCCUCAGGACAGGGAUAACCCCGGGAAACUGGGGAUAAUACCUGAUAGGUGGAGAGGUCUGGAAUGAUCCUCCGCCCAAAGCUCCGGCGCCUGAGGAUGAGCCUGCGGCCGAUUAGGUUGUUGGCGGUGUAACGGACCACCAAGCCUGAGAUCGGUACGGGCACUGAGAGGUGGAGCCCGGAGAUGGGGGCUGAGAAACGGCCCCAGGCCCUACGGGGCGCAGCAGGCGCGAAAACUCCGCAAUACGCGAAAGCGUGACGGGGGGACCCCAAGUGUCAUGCCUUCGGGUAUGACUUUUGCAGAGUGUAAACAGCUCUGCGAAUAAUAGCUGGGUAAGACCGGUGCCAGCCGCCGCGGUAACACCGGCAGCUCGAGUGGUGGCCACUAUUAUUGGGCCUAAAGCGUCCGUAGCCGUGCUCGGUAGUCCUUGGGAAAAUCCGCUCGUUCCACGAACGGGACCCUGAGGAUACUGA